AUUCAAAGAGGGAUGGAACUAAUAUGAAAUGUUUAUAAAUAGCAAGUGUAUGUACAAUGGUUAUUUGGCCGUAUAUAGAAAAAAAAAUCUUUGUCCAUUCACUGAAACCAGACAAGAACCAAUUUAUCUUCUCUACAAAACUGGAAUAAGGAAGUACCAGUUGAACAUAUUUAAAGGAGUCUUUUCCUACUUGUAAUGAUGAAGAUUUUCUGUCUGCUACUCCUUAUGUUUGCUGCAGUUCUUUUUUCUAAUGCAGAACUAAAUAUUGAUGAACUAAGAGCUGAAGCAGCAUGUAAAUUUUUUGAUGGCCUUUGUCAACCGCAGCAAUGUGAUUCAAACUAUGUGGAGAUUGGAUCCUGUCGGCUAGAUGUUGCUUGCUGCGUAAGGAAAGGAUGACCAGCGCACAAGACUGCACCAAUAUUGAAUAGGAUGGAGAUGCUUGGAGAAAUAUUUUUCCUAGGCUGUCCAUAACUCUGAAAAAAAUAAAAUUCUGGGGCAGUGAAUGUGA